GGAGAGAUGGCUGAGUGGACGAAAGCAGCGGAUUGCUAAUCCGUUGUACGAGUUAUUCGUACCG
rnacentral:tRNA from 1 species